UGCCAUACUAUCAUACUACUCUUACUGUUUCUGAGUAUGGGUCACCAUACUUGGCUGUAUGUCACUUUCAAUUCACUCACUCACUUCACUUUCUGCAGUAUCCAGUAUGUAUGCUGUGCAUAGUAUGUAUGUAGUGGGAUUGCCCCUUUAAUAAGUCUGCAUGGCCCCUUUAAAAAUGGCGCACUGAUUGCAUAAGGUGGGUGGGUACGUCAGGUAAUCACGUAGCUAUAUAGACACAGGUGAGAUGUAGUUUCCUCAUGACUUUGUAUCGAUGUGACCUGUUUGCGUAGGUCUUGUAUCUCCUUCACUCCUCGGUAAAGAUUAGUCGGUUACGUUCGGGCAUUGCUAGUGAGCAUGUGAGUGUUAUGCACGUCAAAGAAGUUGCUAGCUGCUGCUUUGCUGUGGCUUAAAUGCCGUUUCCAAUUUUGGGACGCAGAAUUUGUGUGCGCACGCGAUUGCACUGAACGUCUUCGCUGUCGCCUGUAUAACGUUCGCGUUGGAUGCGCUGUAAGACCGUGGCCUUUGAUUCUGGCGCCACCUGGUGUUCGCUGGUAACUCCAUCGUGUUUGUUUGUUUUUGUGUAUUUUGUUUAAGUGUGUGUGCAAUGGAGUUUGAUUGAAAUUGACUUUGUUUCAGUUCAAGUUGCUUCAUUGUAUUUUAUUUAUUAGGUUUUGUUUAUUAACCAAUUUAUUUCGUUUAUAUUAUUUGGGUUGGUUGUAUUUCUUUGUCUUGUUUCACAUUGAUGCUGCUCCAUUACGUAGUUGAGAUUGUGGUUUAUUUAUUUUUGUUCUUUCUGGUUUUGGUUUAUUUGGUUGAUGUGGAGUGGGUUUAAAUUUAUUGUACUUUUGGUUUUGAUUGGUUUGAAGUGUUUUUUUUUAUUUUGUUUUAUUAUGGAGCAGUGAAAUGUGUUAUGUCAAGACAAUGUAGAUUUUCUGUAUGCAUGUACAGUAAUACCCGGAUGACCUACUAUAUUCACCAGAAUCUGCUAAAUAUAGUACACUGAAAUCAGUACAGAAGCUGUUCGCAAUGGCAUACUAACAUACUAUAUUGCAGUAUGCUAUGUGUAUACUGUGAAUAGUAUGUGAAUGUUCUGUAUGCAUGGAAUACCUGGAUUACCUGCUACAUUGGCUGAAAUUUGAUGUAUGCAUCUAAAGACACUGCAUGGGAUAUUGUUUCCCAGAAUGCAACAUGCUCCAUGUGAUGUUUCAUCUUCAAACGCGUGAGUGAACAGCAAGUGGGGAAUAGUAAUUCUAAAUGUAACACUUGUAUUUGUACAUAUAUACAUAUACAUGUAAACUACAAACUAUCGCUGUGUAUCUAAAAACAAUAUCGUUAGUAGGACAUAAACUGUACUUCAAUCUCU
ensembl:lncRNA